rnacentral:ncRNA from 1 species
CUUUCUCUGUAAGGAGACCGAGUCCCUGGAAUGGGUUCGCCUGAGAUAGGGAUGGUGGCUCCGUAGAGCAGUGCGGUUCUUGCGCUGUCCGGUGCGCUCGCGUCGGCCCUUGAAAAUCCGAGUGAGGGAGUGUGAUUUUCGUGCCGGACCGUACCCACAUCCGCAGCAGGUCUCCAAGGUGAACAGCCUCUAGUCGAUGGACCAAUGUAGGUAAGGGAAGUCGGCAAAACGGAUCCGUAACCUUGGGAUAAGGAUUGGCUCUGAGGACUGAGCCGGUCGGGCUGGGGACCUGAAGCAGGAACGGCACUGCACCGGGACUGGGCGGGGCUCGCUGUUCACGCGGCGCGGCCAAGCCCGGACCAGCGUCAGGACCUUCCUGAGGAAAGCCUCAGCUGCGCGGCGUCCGAGGGCUUCGUGCCCAAAGUGCUAUGCUUCGGCCGGCAAAAAACAGUCAACUCAGAACUGGCACGGACCGGGGGAAUCCGACUGUCUAAUUAAAACAAAGCAUUGCGAUGGCCGCUGGUCGGUGUUGACGCAAUGUGAUUUCUGCCCAGUGCUCUGAAUGUCAACGUGAAGAGAUUCAUCAAAGCGCGGGUAAACGGCGGGAGUAACUAUGACUCUCUUGUACAGUGGGUGGAAGUCAUGUGUCCACCUGGGCACGAGAUGGCUACUCCUACUACUGCAGUAAUGCAGGAGGAGGGAACCUCGGAAGCAAAGGUAAAUCUCUUCUAUCCGGU